rnacentral:rRNA from 1 species
UACAGAGGGUGCAAGCGUUAAUCGGAAUUACUGGCGUAAAGCGCAUGUAGGUGGACUGUUAAGUUUGAUGUGAAAGCCCUGGGCUUAACCUGGGAAUGGCGUUGAAGACUGGCAGACUAGAGUCGGACAGAGGGCCGUGGGAAUUUCCGGUGUAGCGGUGAAAUGCGUAGAGAGUCGGAAAGAACACCAGUGGCGAAGGCGGCGGCCUGGGUCCAAACUGACACUGAGGUGCGAAAGCGUGGGGAGCAAA